rnacentral:rRNA from 1 species
GACGAACGCUGGCGGCGUGCCUAAUACAUGCAAGUCGAACGCAGUGGGGCCGGGUGAGUAACACGUGGUUAACCUCCCAUCAGAGGGGAUAACACUUGGAAACAGCUUCUAAACCGAUAUUGACGGAUGGACCCGCGGUGCAUUAGCUAGUUGGUGAGGUAACGGCUCACCAAGGCCAUGAUGCAUAGCCGACCUGAGAGGGUGAUCGGCCACACUGGGACUGAGACACGGCCCAGACGCCUACGGGAGGGAGCAGUAGGGAAUCUGCGGGAAUGGACGAAAGUCGGACCGAGCAACGCCGCGUUAGUGAGGAAGGUUUUAGGAGCUUAAAACGCUGUUGUUAGAGAAGCGGUAUCUAACCAGAAAGCCACGGCUAACUACGUGCCAGCAGCCGCGGUAAUAC